rnacentral:lncRNA from 1 species
GUUGCCUUCUAGUUGUCACCAUGCCUCAUUUUACUGAUGCCUUAAUUGGCAGGCUCACGCGAGUUCAUGAUCAUCUUCUCAUCUUCUUUUCCCCAUAUGUCAGUUCUUAGAGAAGCAGGAUCUCAGAGAGGAGGACCUGGGCAACCUGUGGGGCAGAGAUUGAAAACUAACCCAGCUGGACUUCUCAGCAGACUUCACUCACCAAAGCUGCUAACAGGCUGUUCAGCAGGAGGAAAAUCAGUGGAAGGGGUGCUCAGCUGGGAACAUUGGCCAG